GCUUGUGUCUUUGGCUUAAGGUGCCGGAGCUGGGGUACUUGUUCUCGGUGGACUGUGGGACUCGCAGGAGGUAAAAAGCUGUGCGGCGCGGUGUGUUAUUCGCAAUUAACUCUAGAAUCUGUGUCUCCGUCUCUGUUCGGUCUCUCUCACACGCGCGCACACACACGCGCACACACACACCCUGGUUCCGUCUGUUAUUCUCACUCAACUCUAGAAUCUUUGUCUCUCUGCUCUCUCACUCACACAGAACACACCCUGGUUUGAUCUGUGAUUCUCAGUUAACUCUAGAAUCUGAAUCUGUGUCUCUAUCUCUGACUCUUCGCGCGCGCGUGCGCGCGCACACACACGCACACACACACACACACACACACACAUCCCUCUCAUCUCAUGGCCGCAUUAACUCAUUGAUAGUUGCUCGUGGAUUUUUAUUUAUUGCUUGUUGUGCUCCUGGAUUUUGAUUCGUCUUUUUAUUCCCCCCCAAGGGGGGAAAAAACCCCUACCUGUAUUAAAAUCUGUGGGGUUUCAGCGUUGUUCGUUCACGUUCAAGAUGGGAAUAGGGCAGUAUGAUGAAAAUAACCCGAUCUAGCUGCUGUUUAGAUUGGAUAAAGCACUAGUUCAUUUUAGACUUGAUAUUAUUAUUUGAAAUGUACGUUUUACAACCCCGUGGAGAAAGUAUCCUUUGCCUGGAUCUCGCCCUCUUUUUUUUUUUCUUCCUUUGUGGUAAUUGACAGAAUUCUUAAUUACCCAGUUAACAAAGUGGUUGAGUUGUCUUCUGAUUUUAAAUGGCAGAUCUUGAAAUGGUUGUAGGUUGGCGUGUGGAUGACUCCAUGUCUUUCUUUAAUGAACUGAUCAGAAUGGUGUUCGUCUGAGACUUAGUGAGUGCAUGUUUCGAUUCCUAAGUAAUUUCUCAAACCAUCCGGGGAGAGGGACUCCUCAGAAAUUCUCCACACAGAGGAGAAAGAACACUUUUACCUCUUGGAGCAAAUAUUUGGGCCACUUUUCCCCCAGUUGUCCCUGUUAGUUGCCUGGAAAAGAUGCGUGGUUGAUGAGUACAUGGCUUAUUUCUCUUUUAAGUCUACAGGUGGCAGUGUGGAAGCCAAAACGGGAGCUUCCAGAAGUGGUUUCUGAAAAAUAAGAGUGAAUAUGCACGAGGGAGCUCGGACAGGAAUCACAAAAACCGCAGGCUGAAUAAUAUUCCGUUGCCUGCCUGUACUCCAUCUUAUGUGUCCAUUCGUCCGCGAAGGGUCUUCCUCUGAGCCAACGGAGAAGGCAGAUUGGGGAGGCCUGAUGUGGACGGUGGCCGGCCUCCUUGUCCUUCCAGAAGCCGUAGUGGCAGCCGUGUCCUGUCUUUCAGAGGUAUGAGCUGUGAGGAUGAGCCUUUCCUUGACUAUUCUUGGGUAAGGGUCAGGGAGGAGCAACAGAGGGUGGGAGCCCCUCUUUUCCUUCUCCCUGCAGGAGUGAGUGAUCUCCAUUCUGUCCCGGAAAAUGGCCGCCCCCAUCCCCCGGCCCACCCUAAGGCGGGCCUUGCCCGGCUCUGUGGCUGUUUUUCCUCCCAGGAAAGCCCAGCAGGGUGCCGUGGGGUGGGUGAGGGCAGGAGGAUUGCCCGUGGCCGUGCCCAACAGCUUGAAGGAGAGACCUGAGGUGUCUGGGGGAAAUGCCUGUGUGCUUGGAAUGUGACUCCCUGGGGAUCCCCAACCCUCAGGCGCUUCAGCAAUGGAGGCCGAGUAUGGGGUGAACGGGGCAAGGGGGGAGGGGGAUUGAGGGGCCAGGUGUACCGUUCUUCAGCUGGCUCUGGCCUGCCUCCUGGGAUGCACAGGUAACUGCCACGUGUCAGGGACAGUCAGCUGACUGACUUUCAGGCACGAGUCGGUGAGGGCCCUGACAGAUCCGUGUGCCUCAUAGCAAGGGAUCGUUCUUUUUAGGAGGCAGAUGAGAAGGGAGGCAAGGACUUUCUGCCUCGCGGAUGACCGUUCGGAGACCCAAAGAAAAACUUUUCAAAGAUUUUUGGCAAGCGGCUUCUAAAGAUAAGUUUACAGUGUGGGUUUCGUCUCCAAACAUUUUUUUUUAAUUUUUUUAAAAUGUUUACUUAUUUUUGGUAAAGAGAGAGACAGGGCAUGAGCAGAGGAGGGUAGGGAGAGAGAGGGAGGCACAGAAUCCGAAGCAGGCUCCAGGCUCCGAGCUGUCGGCCCAGAGCCCGACGCGGGGCUCGAACCCACAAACUGCGAGAUCAUGACCCGAGCUGAAGUCGGAGGCCUAACCCACUGAGCCACCCAGGCGACCCUCCCAACAUUUUUCUUUCUUUUUUUUUUUUUUUUUAUGAAAAACUCCCAAGUCUACAGCAAAGCGGAAAGAGUUUUGGAGUGGGCACACAUAGAUGCCUACCACCUGGAUUAGUAGCAUCUUAAGAUACUUGCUUUUUCAAAUACCUAACCAUCUAGUUGCUCGUCUAGCCAUCUGUGAGCCCAUCUUAUUUUCCGAUGUGGUAAAAAAACAAAAAACAAAAACCACUUUUCCCCAAAUGCUUCUGCAUUAGUAGUUCAGUGUUUGUUUUUCAAAGGCUUUGUAGGUAAAAUCUGCACGCGAGGAAACGCACAGAUCGGAAGCGUAGGGUGCGGUCUUUUCCAUCAUUUUGUCAGAUGUUACCAAACCAAGCCUCUGGAUCUUGUCGCAGAAUUUCUAUCAAUUAUUCAGGAAGUGCAGGUUUUUUUUUUUUUUUAUUUUUU